rnacentral:rRNA from 1 species
AACGCGAAGAACCUUACCAAGGCUGAACUACGCGGGAAAAGCCGUAGAAAUACGGUGUCCUUCGGGGCCCGCGAUAGGUGGUGCAUGGCUGUCGUCAGCUCGUGUCGUGAGAUGUUGGGUUAAGUCCCGCAACGAGCGCAACCCUUAUCCCAUGUUGCCAGCGAGUUAUGUCGGGGACUCGUGGGAGACUGCCGGUGCCAAACCGGAGGAAGGUGGGGAUGACGUCAAGUCAGCAUGCCCCUUACGUCUUGGGCUGCACACAUGCUACAAUGGCCGGUACAAAGGGCUGCAAACCCGCGAGGGUGAGCCAAUCCCAUAAAGCCGGUCUCAGUUCGGAUCGCAGUCUGCAACUCGACUGCGUGAAGUCGGAGUCGCUAGUAAUCGCAGAUCAGCAACGCUGCGGUGAAUACGUUCCCGGGCCUUGUA